UACAGAGGUCUCAAGCGCUGUUCGGAUUCACUGGGCUUACAGAGUUCGUAGGCGGUCUGGAAAGUUGGGUGUGAAAUCCCUCGGCUCAACCGAGGAACUGCGCUUGAAACUACCAGACUCGAGGGAGAUAGAGGAAAGCGGAACUGAUGGUGGAGCGGUGAAAUGCGUUGAUAUCAUCAGGAACACCGGUGGCGAAGGCGGCUUUCUGGGUCUUACCUGACGCUGAGGAACGAAAGCCAGGGGAGCGAACGGG
rnacentral:rRNA from 1 species